AAAGGCGGCCUUCUGGACUGACACUGACACUGAGGUGCGAAAGCGUGGGUAGCAAACAGGAUUAGAUACCCUGGUAGUCCACGCCGUAAACGAUGUCAACUAGCCGUUGGGUCCCUUGAGGACUUAGUGGCGCAGCUAACGCAGUAAGUUGACCGCCUGGGGAGUACGGCCGCAAGGUUAAAACUCAAAUGAAUUGACGGGGGCCCGCACAAGCGGUGGAGCAUGUGGUUUAAUUCGAUGCAACGCGAAGAACCUUACCUACCCUUGACAUCCAGAGGACUUUCCAGAGAUGGAUUGGUGCCUUCGGGAACUCUGAGACAGGUGCUGCAUGGCUGUCGUCAGCUCGUGUUGUGAAAUGUUGGGUUAAGUCCCGUAACGAGCGCAACCCCUAUCCUUAUUUGCCAGCGAGUAAUGUCGGGAACUCUAAGGAGACUGCCGGUGACAAACCGGAGGAAGGUGGGGACGACGUCAAGUCAUCAUGGCCCUUACGGGUAGGGCUACACACGUGCUACAAUGGCAAGUACAAAGGGUUGCAAUACUGCGAAGUGGAGCCAAUCCCAUAAAGCUUGCCUCAGUCCGGAUUGGAGUCUGCAACUCGACUCCAUGAAGUCGGAAUCGCUAGUAAUCGUGGAUCAGAAUGCCACGGUGAAUACGUUCCCGGGCCUUGUACACACCGCCCGUCACACCAUGGGAGUGGACUGCACCACGAAGUGGUUAGCCUAACCUUCGGGAGGG
rnacentral:rRNA from 1 species